UGUUGAAAUCGUGAAACGCAGCAACUCAUGUAUUUUUUUCGUCUGCUACGAGUGACUUGUGUAGUUCUGCGAAAUAUUAAUUUAAAAAAAAAAACAGUGAUAGAAAAGGGGGUUAAGACCUCUUAUGAACUCAGAUACUUCAAUAUCAACAAUGAGGAAGAGGAUGAUGAUGAUGACAAGGAAUAAGUUCGUCUCCCCGUUGUUUCGUUUUUUCUGUAAAGUAAUUAACGAUGACCAUUAUAUUUGUACAAUUGUUACUGCAUUAAACUUGACACCAUUCCUUGACGCAUACUUUCAGGGUUAUUUUUACAUAAAAAAAUUGUCAGUAUUAAGAUUAUUCGUAUGGAACUUUAGUAGGCUGUGUACGAAGGGAAUUAUAAUUUUGCAUUAAGAAGAUUCCAGGUUAUGAAGGAACUUGGUCUAAACAUUUGCUAGUAAGAUGUCGGAUCCAUUCAUGUGGUUGCAUGUUUCGAUUUGACCAAUAACUCGUAUCAGACAUGAAGGCUGGGAAGACAGUGAAAGUGAAGUAAAUGCAUUCUGCGUAAAGCAAUCGACCUUCAAUACAACUGUUAUCAAAUUGAGGCAAGUAAAAUAUAAUUAAGUGAAACUAAGCUAAUUUUCUAGAUCUCGAGUAAUAUUUUGUAAAUAUUUAUCUAAACUCAAAAUUGAAAGCCAGACAACAAGUAAUGGAAUGUCAUGUAUAUUUCUCAAUUUACAAAAAUUUCAUCACUUGAAUCAUAACAAAGAGCUUUAUCGACGAUUCAAAUCUAAAUCUUCCAUGAAGGAAGUUAAGUUCAGCCGAAUCUUUUUACUGCCUUGACUUACGCAUUGAAGAAGAUUCAUCAUCUGCCUAGUGAGUAUAUUCCUUCAACAAAGGCAUAAACAAAAUUAUUAGCUGCUGACGACGCGAAUUUCUUAAAUUAAAGACAACGGUAUUAAUGCUAAAUUUGAUUGAGUUACCGUUUGUUCUUGAAUCCAUUUUUCCAAAGAAUUUUCAGGUAAAUAAUAUGCCUUUAUGUAUGUUUCGACAAUAUGUGGGUCAGGAAGAGGUCUUAGACGUGUCAAGCUUUCCACUUUGACUUGAAAAUGCCUGAAGUCUAACUGCAUUAGUGCACGACCUUCGUUCGUGCAUUUCCUUACAGCGGAAAAUCUAAAGAAUUUCAAAUCGGAUACGGUCUUACAUAAAGGAGGCAGAAUCUGAGGGUAACAGACACGAAGGACACUCAAGUCGUAGUCACUGAGAACCUGCGAAAGAAAUAAGAAUUACAUCAUAGAUGGAAUAUGAUUUUUAUAGCUUUUUGUUUCAACAAGAUAUAUGAAGAUAUCUGAGGGAGCAAUUUUUGGAACAAUUGGACAACAGUCUAAACCGUGUUUCCACAGAGAAUUAGGAAUACUAUAUGGACAAUCACUGUUAAACAUUUGUAACUUUUCCAAAUAACGUGUUUUGGCCUCAAUACUAAGUCCACUGGCAUAAUUAGACAGUGACAUAGUUAAACACUAA
rnacentral:lncRNA from 1 species